rnacentral:miRNA from 1 species
GCGGGUAGGUCUAUCCGGUUGUACC